rnacentral:rRNA from 1 species
GACGAACGCUGGCGGCGUGCCUAAUACAUGCAAGUAGAACGCUGAAGGAGGAGCUUGCUUCUCUGGAUGAGUUGCGAACGGGUGAGUAACGCGUAGGUAACCUGCCUGGUAGCGGGGGAUAACUAUUGGAAACGAUAGCUAAUACCGCAUAAGAGUAGAUGUUGCAUGACAUUUGCUUAAAAGGUGCAAUUGCAUCACUACCAGAUGGACCUGCGUUGUAUUAGCUAGUUGGUGAGGUAACGGCUCACCAAGGCAACGAUACAUAGCCGACCUGAGAGGGUGAUCGGCCACACUGGGACUGAGACACGGCCCAGACUCCUACGGGAGGCAGCAGUAGGGAAUCUUCGGCAAUGGACGGAAGUCUGACCGAGCAACGCCGCGUGAGUGAAAGAAAGGGUUUUUCGGGAUUCGUAAAAGCUUCUGUUGUAAAG